AAAACUAUUAAACGCAAAAAAAAAAAAAAAAAAAAAAAAAAAAAGGUAUCUGUUCUUAUCAGCUUAAUAUCUGAUACGUGGCUCAUUGAGUCACUACGAUAUUAAACUGAUUUUUGGUACUCGGCGGGAUGCCCGGGGCUUGCUCCGCUCUCGCCACGGGUCGGCCCGGUAUUGCAGUUCUUCCGGGAAUGGCCCAUUCAAU